rnacentral:pre_miRNA from 1 species
AGUAUGAUUAUUGGAUCAUAUGGUAUGACUAUGUUUAGCUUUCUAAGAAACUGCCCAACUGUUUUCCAAAGUAGCUGUACCAUUUUAUAUUCCUAUCAGCAGU